CCAGCUUCCUUCAAAAUGUGUACUAUUCACAAAAUCCUGUGCAAGCUCAGCUUGGAGAGUGAUCACUCCCUCCAAGUGCAUUGGAUCAAUCAAAGCCUCCGGGUGCUUUGAACAUUGAAAGAACCAUCAAGACCGAAGGUGUGGAUGAGGUCACCAUUGUCAACAUCUUGACCAACAGGAGGAAUGCUCAGAGACAGGAUAGCGCUUUUGCCUGGCAGAGAAGGACCAAAAAGGAACUUGCAUCAGCACUGAAGUCAGCCUUAUCUGGCCACCUGGAGAUCAUGAUUUGGGGCUUAUUGAACACACCUGCUCAGUAUGAUGCUUCUGAGCUAAAAGCUUCCAUGAAGGGGCUGGGAACCGACGAGGACUCCCUCGUUGAGAUCAUCUGCUCAACAACCAACCAGGAGCUCCAGGAAAUUAACAGAGUUUACAAGGAAAUGUACAAAACUGAUCUGGAGAAGGACAUUAUUUUGGACACAUAUGGUGACUUCCUCUAGCUGAUGGUUGCCCUGGCAAACGUUAGAAGAGCAGGGGAUGGCUCUGUCAUUGAUUAUGAACUGAUUGACCAAGAUGCCUGGGAUUUCUGUGACGCUGGAGUGAAGAGGAAAGGAACUGAUGUUCCCAAGUGGAUCAGCAUCAUGACCGAGCAGACCGUGUCCCACCUCCAGAAAGUAUUUGAUAGGUACAAGAGCUACAGCCCAUCAAGAGAGAGCAUCAAGAAAGAGGUUACAGGAGACCUGGAAAAUGCUUUAUUGAACCUGGUCCAGUGCAUUCAGAACAAGCCCCUGUAUUUUGCUGAUCGAGUGUACUACUCCAUGAAGGGCAAGGGGAUUUGAGAUAAGGCCCUGAUCAGAAUCAUAGUCUCCCGCAGUGAAGUGGACAUGUUGAAAAUUAGGCCUGAAUUCAAGAGAAAGUAUGGCAAGUCCCUGUACUGUUACAUUCAGCAAGAUACUAAGGGUGACUACCCAGAAAGCACUGCUGUAGUUGUGCGGUGGAGAUGACUGAAGCCCAACAUAGCUUGAGCUUCCAGAAAUGGUGCUCCCCAUACUUCCAGCUAACAGGUCUAGAAAACCAGCUCGUGACUAACAGUCCCUGUGGCUGUCCCUGUGAGGAUGACGUUAGCAUUGUCCCCAACCUCAUUUUAGUUGCCUAAGCAUAGCCUGGCUUUCCUGUCUAGUCUCUCCUGUAAGCCAAAGAAAUGAACAUUCCAGGGAAUUGGAAGUGAAGUCUAUGGUGUGAAACACUUUGCCUCCUGUGUACUGUGUCAGAAACAGAUGAAUAAACUGAAUUUGUACUUUAGAAACAAAAAAA